UACGAGGGGGGCGAGCGUUGUUCGGAAUUAUUGGGCGUAAAGGGCGCGUAGGCGGUCGGAUAAGUCUUGUGUGAAAUCUUCGGGCUCAACUCGAAGUCUGCACAGGAAACUAUCUGGCUUGAGUGUGGGAGAGGUGAGUGGAAUUCCUGGUGUAGCGGUGAAAUGCGUAGAUAUUCGCAAGAACACCAGUGGCGAAGGCGGCUCACUGGCCCGAUACUGACGCUGAGGCACGAAAGCGUGGGGAGCAAACAGG
rnacentral:rRNA from 1 species